rnacentral:lncRNA from 1 species
UUUUUGAAAAAAAAAAAAAAACCAAAUUUACAUAAAUUACCAUUUACAAAAUAAUACAAAGGUUGGAAGUUUAAUAAUGCUGAUACAUCUAUAAGAUAGCAGUGAAAUAACGUUUAUACUUCUGAUGCCACAGAGAGGUUGAUCCUUAUUCUAUUUAUGGACAAAAUGGGGUUGUUGUACCAUAACACAUUUAGGCAUAGUAACAAAAAGAACAUAAACUAUUGCAACCAACUAGAAUACUAACAAUCUUGUCCAAAUUAGAGCAGCAAUGUUAAAUAAAAAUUGAAAUUACCAGAAAGUAUCAUGAAAAACUUGUAGAGGCUUUAUGAAUUAUUUGCAUUAUCAUAUAGAAUGAUUGAAAACUAGACAAAACCCUUUAUUAGGGAUAACAAAAUGAGACAGAUGAGCCUUAGCCAAGAUGUCUGAAUGUAAGUGGAGAACAAGUGAGUGAUAUUUCUGCACUGUUACGGACUGAUUGGUGAUGGCCAAGUCAUGAUUUAGCCUAUGAGACUGGAUUGGAUUAUCUCAUAUGACUGUUCUGCAUAUCCUAAAGGAAUGCCUGGGAAUGAGAAAAAUUGCAUGUUGAUGGUUAGACAUAUUUUAAUGAUGAUACAAGAUUGCUUUCAUGCAUAUGGAACAGUUUUCAUGCCAUAUUGUAACAUUGAAUGGAUCAUGGAUUCAAUCAUACGAACCAGAAAUGAAAUUCCUGACAAAUAAGUGGCAACAUUACUGGUUACCACACAGAGAAAAAUGAUGCAGAACUCCAGCAGUCAUCCUCAUCUAUGAUGAUAUCCUAACUACUACAUGAGACCAUUAAUAUAUGGUAUUAUAUGCAUUUUUUUUUAAACAUAUCUAUAACUAAUUUUGACAAAGAAAUGGCAACAAUUUUUCUAGAAUUUGUACAUCAUUUUACAAGACAAUACUUGAGGUCAUUGUUGCAGCAGUUGUUCAACAGCUAUUCAUUCAUUGGAACUGAGAGAUGUUUUACCCCCUUUUGUACUCACUGGACUUAAGCCACUAUGACUUUGACUUGUUUUCAAAGUUGAAAGACCUAUUUUGAGGUAUACUUUCAAGACUAUCCCUGAUAUUUCUGGGGCCAUUCUUAGUUUAGUUGAUAAUUCAUAGAGUGGUAUAUUCAUUCUAUAUGAACUAUCAACUAUAAAUUUCUGUAUGAACUAUCAACUCUAUAUGAGUGUAUGUCCAUUCUAUAUGAACUAUCAACCAAACAGAGUCUGCCAAUAUCAUUCUGUGACUUCCACAUUGCUAGCAAUGGAUUUUAUACAAUACUGGUGAUUAUAUCAAAGGACUGUGAAGAUUUAAAACUGCUAUGUGUUUUUAUUCCACACUAAUUAUACUAUUGCAACUAUUAAACUUCAAAACCUUAUAUUUAUUAUUGUCAUAGAGUAUAUACAAAUAACAAGUUUAUGAACUAACAAUCUGAAGAUUAUUGCUCAAUAAAUGCUAUUUUAUAUAAAGUACAAUAUUAAAAUCAUACUCUUACU